AUGCACUGAGGUUAAUUCGGUAUUCAUGUUCAUUAGAACUGUUUAAAAUCUGUAAGCUGAUUGUUUUAUAAUAUAUAUUUGACAUAUGAGCCUGUUUAUGAAGUUCAUAUAAACAUUAGUGGUUUGAAAGACCUGAAGUUGCAUUGGUGAUGUAUUUGUAAACUUUGUUUCUUUAGUAUCAAGUCCUGUUUCUUUUUGCAGCCAUGCCACUGGGCAUCCUCUUAGAGUUAAGCGUUUUCCCAAGAAUUCGUACCUCUGAAAGAAUGCAUGCGCAUACACAUGAAGUUCCUGAAAACAGGUGGUCAGGCCAGCCAUUACAGAACAAGAACAAAAAUAUGAAGCUGUAAUAGAUGCUGUAACAGUAAGUUAAGUUGACCACGAUGACAAUGUCUAUUAUGUAGGAGUGUGUCGUGUGCAUGCCACAGUUUUUGACAUCCUCAAGAACACCCCCUGAUUGGCAGAGAAAAUAAGACAGAAGGCAAAGCUAGACAAGGCAAGGCAAGUCUCAUGUCCCCAGUCAUUUCAAGUGGAUAGAAAAAAUAAAAUGCUUUCAGUUUAA